rnacentral:rRNA from 1 species
AUGCAAGUCGAGGGGCAGCAUUAUUUUAGCUUGCUAAGAUAGAUGGCGACCGGCGCACGGGUGCGUAACGCGUAUGCAACCUGCCUGUAAUUAGGGAAUAACCCGGUGAAAGUCGGACUAAUACCCUAUAUUCUUCUUUCUCCGCAUGGAGGAGGACGGAAAGAUUUAUUGAUUACAGAUGGGCAUGCGUCCCAUUAGCUAGUUGGUAAGGUAACGGCUUACCAAGGUAACGGUGGGUAGGGGGACUGAGAGGUUGACCCCCCACACUGGUACUGAGACACGGACCAGACUCCUACGGGAGGCAGCAGUGAGGAAUAUUGGUCAAUGGGCGAGAGCCUGAACCAGCCAAGUCGCGUGAAGGACGACGGUUCUAUGGAUUGUAAACUUCUUUUGUAGAGGGAUAAUGGCAGCUACGCGUAGCUGAGAUGUAUGUACUCUACGAAUAAGUAUCGGCUAACUCCGUGCCAGCAGCCGCGGUAAUACGGAGGAUACGAGCGUUAUCCGGAAUUAUUGGGUUUAAAGGGUGCGUAGGUGGCGUAUUAAGUCAGUGGUGAAAAGCUGCAGCUCAACUGUAGUCUUGCCGUUGAAACUGAUAUGCUAGAGAGGAGACGAGGUAUGCGGAAUGUGUGGUGUAGCGGUGAAAUGCAUAGAUAUCACACAGAACGCCGAUUGCGAAGGCAGCGUACCAGGCUCCGUCUGACACUGAAGCACGAAAGCGUGGGGAUCAAACAGGAUUAGAUACCCUGGUAGUCCACGCAGUAAACGAUGAAUACUAGAUUUUUGCGAUAUAGUGUAAGAGUCUAAGCGAAAGCGAUAA